rnacentral:rRNA from 1 species
UACAGAGACUGCGAGCGUUAUUCGGAUUCAUUGGGCGUAAAGAGCUCGUAGGCGGCUUGGUAAGUCGGAUGUGAAACCUCCAGGCUCAACCUGGAGUCGCCAUCCGAUACUGCUAUGGCUAGAGUCCGGUAGGGGCCCACGGAAUUCCUGGUGUAGCGGUGAAAUGCGCAGAUAUCAGGAGGAACACCGGUGGCGAAGGCGGGUCUCUGGGCCAUUACUGACGCUGAGGAGCGAAAGCGUGGGGAGCGAACAGG